AUAAUGGGUCAGCGACUUAUAUUCUGUAGCAAGGUUAACCGAAUAGGGGAGCCGAAGGGAAACCGAGUCUUAACUGGGCGUUAAGUUGCAGGGUAUAGACCCGAAACCCGGUGAUCUAGCCAUGGGCAGGUUGAAGGUUGGGUAACACUAACUGGAGGACCGAACCGACUAAUGUUGAAAAAUUAGCGGAUGACUUGUGGCUGGGGGUGAAAGGCCAAUCAAACCGGGAGAUAGCUGGUUCUCCCCGAAAGCUAUUUAGGUAGCGCCUCGUGAAUUCAUCUCCGGGGGUAGAGCACUGUUUCGGCAAGGGGGUCAUCCCGACUUACCAACCCGAUGCAAACUGCGAAUACCGGAGAAUGUUAUCACGGGAGACACACGGCGGGUGCUAACGUCCGUCGUGAAGAGGGAAACAACCCAGACCGCCAGCUAAGGUCCCAAAGUCAUGGUUAAGUGGGAAACGAUGUGGGAAGGCCCAGACAGCCAGGAUGUUGGCUUAGAAGCAGCCAUCAUUUAAAGAAAGCGUAAUAGCUCACUGGUCGAGUCGGCCUGCGCGGAAGAUGUAACGGGGCUAAACCAUGCACCGAAGCUGCGGCAGCGACGCUUAUGCGUUGUUGGGUAGGGGAGCGUUCUGUAAGCCUGCGAAGGUGUGCUGUGAGGCAUGCUGGAGGUAUCAGAAGUGCGAAUGCUGACAUAAGUAACGAUAAAGCGGGUGAAAAGCCCGCUCGCCGGAAGACCAAGGGUUCCUGUCCAACGUUAAUCGGGGCAGGGUGAGUCGACCCCUAAGGCGAGGCCGAAAGGCG
rnacentral:rRNA from 1 species